UCAGUGUCCUAUCAUAGGGCGCGACAGCUGUCGUGACCUGGCGUGUGACCGUGCAUAUCGUGUGACUGAGUGAUUUGGGUGUGGUUUUGGCGUGUGGGAAUAGGGGAACGUGCCCGAGGUUGGUUGGCCCGACACGGUGUAUUGCAUGGGAGGCUGGAGUACGGGUGAUCAGAGAGAGGAUAUAGGUCGCGUCUGAGAGCGGCUAGAGCCGUCUCUCAUUCCGAUCCUAGGCGAGCUAGUCUUUGACCGUUCUAUUGAGGGACCCGUCCUAGUGGACGUUAAACUCUGAGGCAACAUGUAAGCCGGAACGUGAUCGUCUUGCGCCACCCUCUCGCUCGCUACACAUGCGCUCCCGGCCGCCUAC
rnacentral:lncRNA from 1 species